rnacentral:rRNA from 1 species
GAUGAACGCUGGCGGCGUGCCUAAUACAUGCAAGUCGAGCGAACAGACGAGGAGCUUGCUCCUCUGACGUUAGCGGCGGACGGGUGAGUAACACGUGGAUAACCUACCUAUAAGACUGGGAUAACUUCGGGAAACCGGAGCUAAUACCGGAUAAUAUAUUGAACCGCAUGGUUCAAUAGUGAAAGACGGUUUUGCUGUCACUUAUAGAUGGAUCCGCGCCGCAUUAGCUAGUUGGUAAGGUAACGGCUUACCAAGGCAACGAUGCGUAGCCGACCUGAGAGGGUGAUCGGCCACACUGGACCUGAGACACGGUCCAGACUCCUACGGGAGGCAGCAGUAGGGAAUCUUCCGCAAUGGGCGAAAGCUUGACGGAGCAACGCCGCGUGAGUGAUGAAGGUCUUCGGAUCGUAAAACUCUGUUAUUAGGGAAGAACAAAUGUGUAAGUAACUAUGCACGUCUUGACGGUACCUAAUCAGAAAGCCACGGCUAACUACGU